rnacentral:rRNA from 1 species
UACAGAGGAGCCAAGCGUUGUCCGGAUUGACUGGGCGUAAAGCGCACGCAGGCGGUCGGGCGCGUGGGGUGUGAAAUCUGGCCGCUUAACGGCCAGGCGCCAUCCCAUACGGCUCGACUGGAGUGAUGCAGAGGUCGAUGGAAUUGCCGGUGUAGUGGUGAAAUGCGUAGAGAUCGGCAGGAACACCCAGGGGGGAAACCAGUCGACUGGGCAUCUACUGACGCUGAGGUGCGAGAGCGUGGGGAGCGAACCGG